rnacentral:rRNA from 1 species
GGUACGGGGGAGCAAGGCGUUUGUUCGGAUUUACUGGGCGUAAAGGGCGCGUAGGCGGCGUGACAAGUCACUUGUGAAAUCUCCGGGCUUAACUCGGAACGGUCAAGUGAUACUGUCGUGCUAGAGUACAGAAGGGGCAACUGGAAUUCUCGGUGUAGCGGUGAAAUGCGUAGAUAUCGAGAGGAACACCUGCGGCGAAGGCGGGUUGCUGGGCUGACACUGACGCUGAGGCGCGAAAGCUAGGGGAGCGAACGGG